UUCCUUAUCUCUGGUUUCCUUUUACCUCCACAUUCUUGGGAUUUUUGUGAGCCUGAUCCCUUGGCCCCCUACCUAUCUCUCUCUCUCUCUCUCUCUACCUAGUCCUGCCAGUCCCUUAUUCAAUGUGAGCAAUGAACCUAUCUUAUAUUUUCUUUCUAAAUCUGUAUAUCAAGUAUUUUGAGUGUUUUGUUUUUGUUUUUAAGUAGACUGCAUCCAUACUGUGAAGCCCAAUGUGGGGCUUGAACUCACAACCCUGAGAUGGAGAUCUGACCUGAGAUCAAGAGUCAGAUGCUUAACUGACUGAGCUACCCAGAUGUCUUGUGUCUUGAGUUUUCUUAAUGAAGAGAAGAGGUAUUAGACACACAAAGAAUGACCAUAAAGAUAUAGGAGUUCACAAUGUCACCGUGGAAUUGUUAAAAAGGUGAGGACAUACCUGGAAGAUGGACACUAGGAAUCAAAACCAACCCUCACCAGACACUGGAUCUACCAACAUCUUGAUCUUGGACAUCCUAACUUUGAGAACAGGGGCGCAAAUUGGGGGAGGCGCAGAGGGAGAAGGAGGAAAAAUCUCAAGCAGACUACCU